GUGGUAUUAAUAGCAUACAGAAUUUAGUAAUUGUCUUUUUGAGUUCAUAGUUUUUGUUAGCAUCUGCCACAUACGUGUAUAAUAUUACGUUUAAAUAAAAAAGUGCUUUUAACACAAACUUAUUUUUAAAUAUAACGUGGAAUUAAAACCUGAUUGUAAAAAAACCGAAGAAAUUCUUUAAAAUGAAUAUGAAAUACAUUAUCUUACUUUCUUGUAUUAUGAUGUUGAUUAUAUUUCCAAUGAAAAAUUCAGCUUCAAAAUUGCCCGAAAUUAUAUCACGUAUACGUAGAGAAAAAACAUCUUAUUUUGGGAUUCAGAGUAAUGGACCUCGUGGUAUUAUAGAUAUCCAUAAAGGUUUAACAAAUAUGGAUAACCAUAAAGAUUUAACAAAUAUGGAAUAACCAUGAAUUCUACUCUAUAUAAUAUUAAGUGUAACUGGGAAAAUAUGUAAUCAAAAUCACAGCAAAAUUAAUUGAAAAGCAAAAAAAAAAGCAAUAAAAAAUUAUUGUCAGUUAAAAUCUGGAUUUGAGUCCUGGUUUACACCUGGUUUGCUUUACAUACAAUCAACGCAAGCUUACACAUAAUAAAAUAGAUAAGAAUUGAAAUAAGAAAAAUUUAUAAUUGCUAAUUGAAAAUCUAAAAUAAUGUUUUGUCACUUAAAUAAUAUCUGAUAUUAUUAUAAUUUUACUUGGUGAUGGUUUGUCAAUAUGAAAAUAUAAGCAUUGUAAAAAAUCGUAAAAAAAAGAAAAAAAAUAAAAAGUUUAACCACUGUAA